rnacentral:lncRNA from 1 species
CGCGCCAUACAUGUUGGCGCCAACAAGAAAAAAAAGGAUAUAGAUAAAACCAAUAAACAAAAAGAAAAAGAAAAUCCAAAAAAGCUAAACGCGCCGAGCAGAAACAAAGGAAAGAGGCAAGUGAGAUAGGCGAGUGGAAUUUGGCAGAAAAAUCUUCAGAUCCCCCAAAGAUCUCGCUUCGCGAGUGAACUCAAAACCCUAAUUUCCCCACUCGCCUCGUGCUCACUCGCUUCAAUUUCGUUCUAUUUAAUUGAGAUCAUCAAACGGUCAUUUCUUUCUUCGCCUGAGGUUCCCUCUCUUCUUCUUCCUCUUCUUUUUUCUCACGAAUAUUACUUUUUUUUGUUUUUCAGUAUCAUUAUUAGCAGCACUGGCGUCUUUAUAACGAACCUUUUUAAUUUUCUGUUAUGUAGCUUGAGUCUUGCUGAAAGUACAUGUUUAAAAGUUUGGAUUUUAUUUUUUCCAAGUACUUUCAGCAGCCUCCGGCGUCAUAGCAGAGAGUGAAAUUAUUCGAUACUCAUUUACCAGAUAGCAGCAAUGACUUAAAGCUCUUUCGUGACUGCGAAGCUAUAAUUAACUUGCUCUUUAAUUGUUUAAUUUAUAUUAAUUCUUCUUGUUGCUUUUGCAUUAGUUUGAUUAAUAAAGCUUUGUGGUGUAAUUAGGGUUUGAUGAUGAUAACGGUGAUUUAUUUUAAAAUUAGGGUUUGUGAAUAGUGGUGGCUAAUAAAGACAGCUGGUUUAACUGCUUAAGAAUGUAAUUUGAUGUUUGAAGCUGCAGCCCCAAAUCCGUGAGUUAGUUUUGGUGUAACUAGUCAGUUUAAAAUUAUGAUAGAGUUUACUAAUAUAAUCAAUUGAAAAUGAAUUAAUCCAAUAAAUAUAUAUUAAAUUAACAAAAAAAAUUUAAAAUCCUUGCAAUUUUAGAAAUUGACCUAGGAACUCCUAGAAGCAAAAAAUAAAAUUAGUGAUGAGCAACAAUAUAAUCAUAUUUUUAAAAUAAAAUAUUAUAAUUUAUAAUUUCAGCAAAUUAAUAAUUUAAAAUAUGAAUAAGACCACGGAGUUGUAUAAGUUUUUCUUUAAUGUAUUAUAUUAUAAGUUUAUCGAAAUUAUUAAUUUAGCCCUUUGAUCAAAGUCAAAACUGUAAAAAAUUAUUAUAUAAUAAAUAUUAUAAUUUUAACGAGUAUUAAAUUAUAGUGAUUUUUCCGCAGUUAAUUCAUAAUUUGGGAGGUAAUCUAUUAUCCGUUUGUGUAAAUAGAUUCGAUUAAUUGUGCAUGUAUUAAUGAUUUUUUUAUUAAAAAAAUAAUAUUGUUGUAACUAGAUAUUCCAACAAUAACAAUAUUUAAUUGAUUCUUAAAAAAAGAAAAAAUGAGUGAGGAUAAAAAAUUUCACUCAUUAACAAUCAAUCUUUAUUUUUAUUAGUGUAAGAUAUAAUUUUUUUUCCUUUCUCUCAAAAGAUUUGAAUCAGAAGGAGAAACUUCAUUAAUUGUUCCCGUUAUGAGUAAAAUUUGAGUGUUAUUAAUUGAACUCGAAAAGAAGAAGAAAGAACUUGAUAAUCGAUGGCGCUGAACACAUUUAUAGCUGCCUUAGAGCAUGCAAGAUUUGAAUUUACAUGUCAAUUAAUUUGUGUUGCCUUCCUUCUUUUCUGAAGAAAGGUUAAUUUUUCUUUCUUAAACAAGGGUAUUAGUAUUUUUUUUUUUUAAAAAAAAGAAGGAACAUAAGAAAAUAAUUAUAUAUAUAUACAUACACACACACAUAAUUAUUCGCUUUAUUAAAAUAAAAUAUCAUUAAAAUAUAAAAAAAAAUCACAUAUUUCUGUACAUUUAUAUAUAUAUAUAAAAUCACAUAUUUCAAUCGGCAAAGCUAAGCUGGAUCCUAUUUAUGUAAGGAAGUAAUUAAAUCGACAAAAAAAAUAAAAUUCCCACGCGCCAUACAUGUUGGCGCCAACAAGAAAAAAAAGGAUAUAGAUAAAACCAAUAAACAAAAAGAAAAAGAAAAUCCAAAAAAGCUAAACGCGCCGAGCAGAAACAAAGGAAAGAGGCAAGUGAGAUAGGCGAGUGGAAUUUGGCAGAAAAAUCUUCAGAUCCCCCAAAGAUCUCGCUUCGCGAGUGAACUCAAAACCCUAAUUUCCCCACUCGCCUCGUGCUCACUCGCUUCAAUUUCGUUCUAUUUAAUUGAGAUCAUCAAACGGUCAUUUCUUUCUUCGCCUGAGGUUCCCUCUCUUCUUCUUCCUCUUCUUUUUUCUCACGAAUAUUACUUUUUUUUGUUUUUCAGUAUCAUUAUUAGCAGCACUGGCGUCUUUAUAACGAACCUUUUUAAUUUUCUGUUAUGUAGCUUGAGUCUUGCUGAAAGUACAUGUUUAAAAGUUUGGAUUUUAUUUUUUCCAAGUACUUUCAGCAGCCUCCGGCGUCAUAGCAGAGAGUGAAAUUAUUCGAUACUCAUUUACCAGAUAGCAGCAAUGACUUAAAGCUCUUUCGUGACUGCGAAGCUAUAAUUAACUUGCUCUUUAAUUGUUUAAUUUAUAUUAAUUCUUCUUGUUGCUUUUGCAUUAGUUUGAUUAAUAAAGCUUUGUGGUGUAAUUAGGGUUUGAUGAUGAUAACGGUGAUUUAUUUUAAAAUUAGGGUUUGUGAAUAGUGGUGGCUAAUAAAGACAGCUGGUUUAACUGCUUAAGAAUGUAAUUUGAUGUUUGAAGCUGCAGCCCCAAAUCCGUGAGUUAGUUUUG